GAUGAACGCUGACAGCAUGCUUAACACAUGCAAGUCAACUGUGGCGGACGGGUGAGUAACGCGUAAAGAACUUGCCUCACAGAUAGGGACAACAUUUGGAAACGAAUGCUAAUACCUGAUACUGUGAGAGAGCUUUGCGUCCCAUUAGCUAGUUGGAGAGGUAACGGCUCACCAAGGCGAUGAUGGGUAGCCGGCCUGAGAGGGUGAUCGGCCACAAGCGGACUGGGACACGGCCCGUACGGCUUCGGGAGGAAGGAGUGGGGAAUAGUUGACAAUGUACCAAAGUCUGAUCCAGAAAUUCGGUGUGCACGAUGAAGUUUUCGGAAGGUAAAGUGCUUUCAGUUGGGAAGCGGUACCAACAGAAGAAGUGACGGCUAACUACGUGCCAGCCGCCGCGGUAAUAC
rnacentral:rRNA from 1 species